rnacentral:rRNA from 1 species
AUGGCCCUCUUCCAAGAAUUCUAUCGGGGCACUUGUGACCUUCGCCGCCUAAACUAUGGGGUCAUUACUCUCAUCCCCAAGGUUCCCGGCGCGACGGAGAUUCGCCUAUUCCACCUGAUUAUAGUGAUCAAUGUGAUCUUCUGCAUCAUGGAUAAGGGGUAUGCCAAUAGGAUGACCCCUUUAGCCAACCACAUCACCCACCCGGACCAGUCGGCCUUCAUUCAGGGUCGGUGCAUCCUUGAUGGAGUCCUCAUUUUUCACGAGGUGCUCCACGAGGUCCGCACUAAGCACCUGAAGGCCGUAUUCCUAAAGAUAGACUUCCAUAAGGCAUAUGACAUCGUCAGUUGGCCUUUCCUCCAGGAAGUAUUGGUUAGGAAAGGCUUCGACGACCGCUCGGUCACGCGAGUCAUGCAGCUGGUGUCCUCGGACCAAACUGCCAUUAACAUCAAUGGCGAGAUUGGCCCAUAUUUCCCCACCUUAUGUGGGGUUAGGUAG